AACGCGAAGAACCUUACCUGGGCUUGAACUACUGGUAGUAAGUCUUUGGAAACAUGGACUGAUCCGCAAGGAAGCCAGCAGAGGUGCUGCAUGGUUGUCGUCAGCUCGUGUCGUGAGAUGUUGGGUUAAGUCCCGCAACGAGCGCAACCCCUAUCUCAUGUUGCUAAUCCCGCAAGGGAUGCACUUUUGAGAAACUGCCUUCGAUAAGAAGGAGGAAGGUGGGGAUGACGUCAAAUCCUCAUGGCCCUUAUGUCCAGGGCUACACACGUGCUACAAUGGCCGGUACAACGGGAAGCAAUACCGUAAGGUGGAGCCAAACCCUGAAAGCCGGCCCCAGUUCAGAUCGUGGGCUGAAACUCGCCCACGUGAAGGCGGAAUCGCUAGUAAUCGCGAAUCAGCAGGUCGCGGUGAAUACGUUCCCGGGCCUUGUA
rnacentral:rRNA from 1 species